CUUAGGAACAGCGCGGCUCGCAGUAUUUAUACCGCCGGCUUGUCACGAGGAGGUUUCCCGGUAAACGUGGCCAAUCCGGGAACAGGAACACACGUCGCAUGUCUCCGCUCGUGCCGCAGUUAUCGGAAACAAGCGGAUGGGAUCUGACCCAAUAUGGGCAUUUCAAUGAAGGAUUCCUACUACUCCUACUACAUCUGGUCAAUGGCCGCCGGUCAGUAGGCUAUACGUGACCAGCGUCACCACAGAACAAUGACAAAGAAAAACAUCCAAUGCACACUCCACACUAACACAAAUGCAACAGGUGUAGUGUUUUAUUACAUAAGGCCUUACUCACCACUAGUCCUUGCUUUUACAAUACUGUUCAAAAAUAUUUGAGUUUCUAGGCCAGGGGUCUCCAAACUUUUUCCUACGAUGAGCUACUUUUACAUAACGAUAAUGCCAGAGAGCUACUAGUUUUAGCGUUAUAAGAAAUUAAGUAUAUAAAAGAGCCAAAGCGAGCCUUAGAUGAGGUACAGUUAGAUGCCUAUAAAACAUAAACCAUUAUUCAUUUAUUGGUGCACAAAGUUUGCCAUCAAUAUGAUACAUGUACAAUUGCAAAAGCCGUUUAAUUAAUCAAAUGUUACUUAUUCAGCACUAUACUUGUAAUUCAGAAAUCCCUUGGCGUGCUACUUGGAAGGGGGUGGAGAGCUACUGGUAGUUCCCGAGCUACAGGUUGGACCCCUGAUCUAGGCCUUAUUCAACAAAGAACUGCUCCAGAAAGUAGCAUGUAUGGGGUAGUUUUCAGGAAAUGCAUGUAAUUUAGAAUGUUAUGGCUGCAUGAUCUGUCUAAGCCUAUUUAUUAUUUUAAUUAUUUUAUUUUAAUAUUUUUAUAGAUCCAUGGUCUAAGCACUGUCAUCCAUCUUGAGUAUGUAGUAUUAUUACAACAUUGCCUCUGGCUCUUGUAAUGAUUUUUGAAAGAGACAAUCAAAUGUCCUAACCAUUGUGGAUGAGCUGAACAAUGUGCAUGGCUUAGUCUAAAGCUUCAGAAACAUUCCUUGUUUUUACACAGUGGAUGUAUGUAUGUAAUUUCAACAGUUGCAGGGGUUCCCAUGAGCCAACUUAAGUACCAGACAAAGUAACAAAAUAUGUUCAGAAUUUUUAGCUCUGUAUGGUUAAAAAAUCUAGCUGCUUCACACUUUACAAAUGUUUAUGUAGCCUCUUUAUGUCCUACUUUGUCUAUUAUGCAGCUAAAACACUAUUACAUUUGUUUUGUAAAAGAAUAAAGUCUUGUGUAUUUUUCCUGUAAACUGUUGCCUUUGUAGAAGACCCAAGAAACAUUUUGUCUUGGACAAAGACAUUACCAAACCCUAUUAGCACAAAGAGCCGGCAGCUGUUAGUUUUGCAUACUAAAUAAAAUUGAGUUUGAACUGA